AUUGAACGCUGGCGGCAGGCUUAACACAUGCAAGUCGAGCGGGGAAGAGUAGCUUGCUACUUGACCUAGCGGCGGACGGGUGAGUAAUGCUUAGGAAUCUGCCUAUUAGUGGGGGACAACAUCUCGAAAGGGAUGCUAAUACCGCAUACGUCCUACGGGAGAAAGCAGGGGACCUUCGGGCCUUGCGCUAAUAGAUGAGCCUAAGUCGGAUUAGCUGGUUGGUGGGGUAAAGGCCUACCAAGGCGACGAUCUGUAGCGGGUCUGAGAGGAUGAUCCGCCACACUGGGACUGAGACACGGCCCAGACUCCUACGGGAGGCAGCAGUGGGGAAUAUUGGACAAUGGGGGGAACCCUGAUCCAGCCAUGCCGCGUGUGUGAAGAAGGCCUUUUGGUUGUAAAGCACUUUAAGCGAGGAGGAGGCUACCGAGAUUAAUACUCUUGGAUAGUGGACGUUACUCGCAGAAUAAGCACCGGCUAACUCUGUG
rnacentral:rRNA from 1 species